GUGUGGACAGGUGAGGACAGGUGUGGACAGGCGAGGACAGGUGUGGACAGGUGAGGACAGGCGAGGUAUCAUGUAGUCUGGGUCCCAACAGUGUAUAACUGCUGCUGUUUGUGUUUCAGUCAAAUCAGCUGGAUUUUUAAACCCAAUUUGAAUCAGAAGCAGAGAAGAAGAGUUUUAAAUACCAGGAGAGUUUGCAUGAAUCACACACACACACACUCACACACACACACACACACACACACACACACACACACACACACACAGUCAGUUUCCUCCUCCGUCUCCAUGACGACGACAGUAAAAAGUGUUUGUGUUUCAGCUGAAGUACGAAGCCGUCUGAUAUCGUCUCCAUCAGCAAACUUCAUUUCCUCCUCUGAUACACAUCGGACUGUGUGUGUGUGUGGGGGGGUUUACUCCUGUUGUGGGGACAUAAAUCUGUUUACAAAGUGACUCCUGGGAAUGAAUGUAAGUCAAUGUAAUGUCCUCAGAAGUGCUGGAAACACAGCUUUGUGUGUGUGUGUGUGUGUGUGAGCUCACUGAAGGAGGGGACAUUUUUAGAAAGCGAGGACAUUGUGUCAGUUUGAGGGUCCAGACCUGGUCUCAGGAUUAACGUCAGAACGAGGUUUAACACAUCGGACCUGUGACAUCAGCGGUGUGUCGCCGCCCGGAGCGGCCAUCUUUCAGGCCACGCCGACUCUGUCCUCUGUUCCAGCACGUCCGUCCUAUCUGAGAGGACAAACUGUCCGCCAGGCUGAGGGACAUCAGACAUGAUGAGGAUACAGGAAGAAAACUAUACUGCUUUGAUUGAUUGAUUGAUUGAUUGAUUGUAUUUUCCUGCCUCCUGCAGUUCUAUUGGUCCAUUAUAGGGGUAACAAGUUCACUAACGUUCAUGUGUUUCUCUCAUGGCAAGGUGUGUGACAGGUGUGUGUGAGUGACAGGUGUGUGUGUGUGACAGGUGUGUGUGUGUGACAGGUGUGUGUGAGUGGGACUGUAUGCAAACAGGUGUGUGCCAGCCCACCGAGGGGAUUGGUCCACCAGCGACCGGUACCUGCAGGUGAUUGGUUCCGUUCUGAUGCCACUGGACUAUAUAAGGAGCCAAGAUGGCGGCGGUGCUGCCACACGCGUCUCUGCUGUAAAGCGCCACCAUCAGGUCGACGUGUUAACGUGUCCGACGCUUUGGUUUCUGACCGAACACCUGCAGAGCUGCUGGCGCUCCCAUCAGCCUCAGCUGCGCUCUGUGUUCACUGCUAACUAGCUAAUGUUAGCAUGCUGAUGUUAGCGUUUAGCUCAACGCCCCGCUGCGUGUCAGUCCGGCCUCACACGGCUGCAGACUCGGCUUUGUUGACUGUCCCUUUAAUCCCAGCUGGCAUCUGUGACAUCACAGGAAGUCUGAUCCAAACUGCCGACUCAUCAUCAGCCCGAUGACGUCGACUCUCGAUCUGCAGCCGCUCCGACGCAAACAAUAAAGAAUAAAUCAAUAA